UGGGGGAUAUUGCACAAUGGGCGAAAGCCUGAUGCAGCGACGCCGCGUGGGGGAUGAAGGCCUUCGGGUUGUAAACUUCUUUUGCUCUGAACAAGGCGCACCAUGGGGUGUGUUGAGUGUAGGGGUUGAUUAGCGCCGGCUAACUACGUGUCAGCAGCCGCGGUAAUACGUAGGGCGCGAGCGUUGUCCGGAAUUAUUGGGCGUAAAGGGCUUGUAGGUGGCUGGUUGCGUCUGUCGUGAAAGCUCAUGGCUUAACUGUGGGUUUGCGGUGGGUACGGGCUGGCUUGAGUGCAGUAGGGGAGGCUGGAAUUCCUGGUGUAGCGGUGGAAUGCGCAGAUAUCAGGAGGAAUACCGGUGGCGAAGGCGGGUCUCUGGGCUGUUACUGACACUGAGGAGCGAAAGCAUGGGGAGCGAACAGG
rnacentral:rRNA from 1 species